AAGUUGUUAAUUAUUGUAUUAGUAUCAGACCUAAUUCUUUACUUAAGCAUAAUUUCCCCUUUGUUGCAAGACACAUGAUUUGCCCGUACGUAACGGACAUAAGAAAAUAAAAAGGGUACAUAUGUUACUUGGAAGCUAAAGAACUAUAUAAAAAUAUUAAACAUUUUUUUGUGAUUAUAUGUGUGAUUGAUUCAGGUUAUAUAAUUUUUUUUGGUUUGAUUGAUUCGAUGUAAAUAUAUUUUUGGUUUGAUUUAUUCGAUGUUAAUACGUGUCCNN
rnacentral:lncRNA from 1 species